rnacentral:rRNA from 1 species
UACAGAGGUCUCAAGCGUUGUUCGGAUUCAUUGGCGUAAAGGGUGCGUAGGCGGCGCGGUAAGUCGGGUGUGAAAUUUCGAGGCUUAACUUCGAAACUGCAUUCGAUACUGCCGUGCUUGAGGACUGGAGAGGAGACUGGAAUUUACGGUGUAGCGGUGAAAUGCGUAGAGAUCCGGAAGAACACCGGUGGCGAAGGCGGCCAUCUGGACGGUAACUGACGCUGAGACGCGAAAGCGUGGGUAGCAAACAGG